UGAACAUUCCGAAUACAUCAUUAAUGAGGAAGGCCUGUGCAAAGGGAUGCAUCUUGCCAAGUCCCCUCAAAGUGGCUGCCUUCUGCUCGUCUUGUUUGACCCUGGAAGCGACAUCAUACUGCUGAAUUUUUCACAUCACAAUCAUUUCCCGGCUGUGAAGAUUAUUACUUCAGUGCAGGAUUUCAGCAGGACAGUGGCAGAGGCAGGAAUAGAAGCCAGGUUUCCUGAGUUCCAGUCCAGUGCUCUAUCCACUACACCCCACUGACGAAAGCAAUACAGAGUGGUGCCUCAGAGAGCACUGGAAGGAGUAAUGUAGUGCCAUGCAACAGGCUUGCCCCCCAACCUCGGACAGAUCAGUGGCACCUCAGUUUUGUUAACAUUUGCCAGAAUCUGUGGUCCAAAUUGAACACGGCUCAGUGUGUGUGUCAAACCAUCUGUAGUGAACUCAGCAUUUCCUCUGAGGAUCCUGAAAUAACACAUCAGAUUUAGAUUCAGCUCCAUGAACAUAUGAAAAUGCUAAGGACAGAGAACACCAUGGUGCGAGAGGAAAAACAGAGCUGUUUAUUCAGUCUGAUUACAUCAGAGAGACACUAGGACUGUCUGUGUCACGUGCAGCCCUGACAUCUAUGUUUUCUGCCACUGGAGCGGAGGAAACUACACAAAGAAAACUUGAUGCCCUUAAAUAUUUCUUUACUUAAUCCUUCAAAAGACAAUGGAAGUCCCUUCCCUUUGUCCCUCCCCUUUCCCACCCCCUUGCACUUCUACUGUACAAAAGGGGAUCAUUAAGCAACUGUACAUGUAAGGGGGGGGGGAGGAAAUGGCAGACUGCCAACCUCAGGAAGAAUCAAACACAAAUCUCUCAUUGCCACUCUCAUGUAAAACACUUUGUGUAUGCAUUUAGUCAUCAUCUCCCCCUGCAGUUUAGGGGAAAACCUUGUAGGGAGGGCUUGCAUGGGUCUCUGGAAUUUGACCAAUUGUGCAGGGUCUGCCUGAGUGGGCGGGGCUUGUCGUGGUGUGCAGUGAUUGCUCAGAUGUACAGGACUCACCCAGGUGUGCGGUGCUUGCAAGGAUGUGCUGGAGUAGACAGGGUUUGGCUGGGUGAGCUGCUCAUGUGCAAACUAUCUGAGGAAUGCUUUGGUUUGUCAACUCUCCCAUACCUGAGUUAGGACCGAUUGAUAGAUUCAGAGAACUUGCCAAGCCACCGCACCCACGUUACAUUUGAUUAAUUAUUCAUUGUUAUGUUCUGCAUUUCUGGAUAAUUUUGGAAAAACAAAAUGGCAGCUGAAUGUCAAAUAUUAAUCACAGCAGCAGCAAAAUUUACCAUCAUGUCAACAGCUAUGUUAGAAAGAAUCCUCUGUUUUUCAGCUGUAUGCUAAAUAUUCCCUCUCUGGAAAUCUGGAUGGCAAAACCCUUUAAUAGAAUCUCAAUUGGAGGAUCGGUUUAUUCAUUUAUUUACAUAUGUAUAAUUUUUAUGAUUAAAGGAAUUAACAACAACUAUCAAAGCAAACAUACUUUAAAAUGUGAGCCAGGGAGAGGGUGAGUGAGAAGCCCAAUAGCCACUCAAACACCAAAGAUUUAUGGCUUUUCUUAGCCAAAUUCUACAGUGAUGUUGCUGUAAUCAGCCCCUGAGAGCCGUGAAAUAACACCAAGACAAAAAGGGAGAGAGCCGAGGAAGGAAGCAGAGCCUUAUAUAACUUAUAA